rnacentral:rRNA from 1 species
GUGUAGGCGGGUAGUUAAGUCAGAAGUGAAAUCCAAUAGCUCAGCUAUUGAACUGCUUUUGAAACUGAUUACCUAGAAUAUGGGAGAGGUAGAUGGAAUUUCUGGUGUAGGGGUAAAAUCCGUAGAGAUCAGAAGGAAUACCGAUUGCGAAGGCGAUCUACUGGAACAUUGUUGACGCUGAGACGCGAAAGCGUGGGGAGCAAGCAGGAUUAGAUACCCUGGUAGUCCACGCCCUAAACGAUGUACACUAGUUGUUGUGAGGCUCGACCUUGCAGUAAUGCAGUUAACACAUUAAGUGUACCGCCUGGGGAGUACGGUCGCAAGAUUAAAACUCAAAGGAAUAGACGGGGACCCGCACAAGCGGUGGAGCAUGUGGUUUAAUUGGACGAUACACGAAGAACCUUACCUGGACUUGACAUAGUAAGAACUUUCUAGAGAUAGAUUGGUGUCUGCUUGCAGAAACUUAUAUACAGGUGCUGCACGGCUGUCGUCAGCUCGUGUCGUGAGAUGUUGGGUUAAGUCCCGCAACGAGCGCAACCCUCGUCAUUAGUUGCUAACAGUUCGGCUGAGAACUCUAAUGAGACUGCCUACGCAAGUAGGAGGAAGGUGAGGACGACGUCAAGUCAUCAUGGCCCUUACGUCCAGGGCUACACACGUGCUACAAUGGGGUAUACAAAGAGCCGCAAUACGGUGACGUGGAGCAAAUCUCAAAAAUAUCUCCCAGUUCGGAUUGUAGUCUGCAACUCGACU